GAUGAACGCUGGCGGCGUGCCUAAUACAUGCAAGUCGAACGAGGCCCUCUUCCUUCGGGAGGAGGUGUCCUAGUGGCGAACGGGUGAGUAACACGUUGGUGACCUACCCCGAAGAGGGGGACAACCCCGGGAAACUGGGGCUAAUACCCUAUGUGAUCCUAAGGAUUAGAUGCCUAAGGAUGAAAUGGAUGCUUGCACUCGCUUCGGGAGGGGCCUGCGGCCUAUCAGCUAGUUGGUGAGGUAAUGGCUCACCAAGGCGACGACGGGUAGGGGGCCUGAGAGGGUGGUCCCCCACACUGGAACUGAAACACGGACCAGACACCUACGGGUGGCAGCAGUAGGGAAUAUUGCACAAUGGGCGCGAGCCUGAUGCAGCAACGCCGCGUGCGCGAUGAAGGCCUUAGGGUUGUAAAGCGCUUUUCUGGGGGAAGAGAAAGGACGGUACCCCAGGAAUAAGUCUCGGCUAACUACGUGCCAGCAGCUGCGGUAAAACGUAGGAGGCGAGCGUUAUCCGGAUUUACUGGGCGUAAAGCGCGUGCAGGCGGUUUGGUAAGUCGGACGUGAAAGCUCCCGGCUCAACUGGGAGAGGUCGUUCGAAACUGCCAGACUAGAGGGCAGCAGAGGGAGGUGGAAUUCCGGGUGUAGCGGUGAAAUGCGUAGAUAUCCGGAGGAACACCAGUGGCGAAGGCGGCCUCCUGGACUGUCCCUGACGCUAAGACGCGAAAGCUAGGGUAGCAAACGGGAUUAGAGACCCCGGUAGUCCUAGCCGUAAACGAUGCACACUUGGUGUUGGUGGCGUAAGACCCAUCAGUGCCGCAGCUAACGCGAUAAGUGUGCCGCCUGGGGACUACGGUCGCAAGGCUAAAACUCAAAGGAAUUGACGG
rnacentral:rRNA from 1 species